AUGGCGGAAAUGAGCUCCCUGCCGGUCACCGACGACCUCUUGGCGGAGAUCUUCCUCCUGCUGCUCACCCCGGCCGACCUCGUCCGCGCCUCCGCGGCCUGCGUCGCCUUCCGCCGGCUCGUCACGGACCGGGCAUUCCUCCGGCGCUUCCGCUCCCUCCACGCCCGGCCCUUCCUCGGCUUCCUCAACCACAACGGCUUCCACCCCGCCCGCCCGCCCCACGCCUCCGCGCCCGCCGCCCGCGCCGUCUCCCUCGCCGCGGAUUUCUCCUACUCCUUCCUCCCUUCCCACGACAGCUGGAUCGUCCGGGACGUCCGCGACGGCCGCGUACUCCUCGACCGCACCCCCGAGGACGACGCUGGCGAGGAAUCCCCUGUCUUCACGGAGCUCGCGGUGUGCGACCCUCUCCACCGGCGGUGCCUCCAGCUUCCCCCAAUCCCUGACGACCUGGCCGCUUCGGUGGAGCACCCGCUCCGCGUGGAGUUGGAGCGCUGGUGCGAGCCCUUCCUGGCUACCUCCGGCGAGGAGGAGGCGGAAGAAACGUCAUUCAGAGUGAUCUGGAUGGCGCAGUGCAAAACGAAGCUGGUCGCCUUCGUCUUCUCUUCAAGCACCGGAGAAUGGCGAGCCGUUGCGUCUCAGGCCUGGGGCGAUUUGUUAGCGGGCACCGGCGUGUCGACGGCGUCGUCCAAGAGCCCUGUGUUCUUCGGCCGACAAUACGCUUGUGCUUGCUUCUACUGGGUCAUGGACUGGAGGCAGAAAUUGCUCAUGCUUGACACCAGGAGGAUGGAGUUCUCCAUUGCCGACCUCCCACCCGGCUGCCGAAGGCCACCGAUUGCCAUUGUGGAUGCAGGGGAAGGCAGACCUGGGAUGUUUGCUGUCCGUGAACACGAUGCAGAUGGCACAUUUAACCUCUACUACACCAUUAGGCAAAACGAAGGCCAGAGUUUCAACCAGUGGCAGAUGGAGAAGACGAUCCCAUUGGAAUCCGGUUACCGGUAUUUCCUGAGAGGUGCAACAGAGAGGUACUUGCUACUACUAAGAUCAGAAGAUGACUCCCCAAGUUCAUCAUCAUUAGAGAUGUCAGACUUGGAAUGUUUCUCACUGGACGUCAAGACAUUGCAGCUUGAGAGCGUCUGCAGGUUGAAGCAUCACAUCCUACGUGCGCACAUAUAUACCAACUUCCCACCAUCGCUGUCGUCACAGACAAUAUGA
rnacentral:rRNA from 1 species